rnacentral:rRNA from 1 species
UGGGGAAUAUUGCACAAUGGGCGAAAGCCUGACGCAGCCACGCCGCGUGGGUGAUGAAGGCCUUCGGGUUGUAAAGCCCUGUCGAGGGGGAAGAAGCAUGACGGUACCCCUCAAGAAAGCGCCGGCUAACCCUGUGCCAGCAGCCGCGGUAAUACAGGGGGCGCAAGCGUUGCUCGGAAUCACUGGGCGUAAAGCGAACGCAGGCGGACCGUUAAGUCGAAUGUGAAAUCCCGGGGCUCAACCCCGGAAGUGCAUUCGAAACUGGCGGUCUUGAGUACGGGAGAGGUGGGUGGAAUUCCUGGUGUAGAGGUGAAAUUCGUAGAUAUCAGGAGGAACACCGGUGGCGAAAGCGGCCCACCGGCCCGAUACUGACGCUCAUGUUCGAAAGCGUGGGGAGCAAA